GUCGUAAGGUAUGCUUGUUUAAGCUAUCUUGCCCCUAUCUUUUGAUCAGUGCUCUUGUUUUAGUGAUGGGAACAUAUGAUUAUGAUUUAAGUUUUGAUAAUGGUAUUGUUUAAAUCCAUAAUAGUACUGAAUGUCUCUAAUGAUGAUGUUUAGCUUAAAACUUUCGUUCUUCUGAGAAAUUACGCAUGUGGAAUUCAUAUGGAGACCCGAACUGAAGAGACAUCUUUUUAGGGUUUUAUAUAUUUUUUGUAUUUGGGAUUUUUUUUUCUUUCCUCUUGGCUUGCCAUUAACUGGGUUGUAAGUGGUCUGAUAAUUAUAACUUAAAAUGCUUAAAACCAGUAGUAAAUGAUCUUUAUGUUGCCUCUAAGGAUGAUUAGUAGAAUACUGAUGUUCCAUGCGGAAACUUUCUGGAGACCUGAACUGAAGAGGCUUGAUUCUGAUUUCUUUAUUGAAAUUCUGGACUAUUGAACCUUUCCUUUUAGUUCAUUUUUAGCUCAUAAUUGAUCUUUUUUAGUACUUUUUUAGUAAGAGUUUAAUCCUUUUGAAGAUUUGAUGAGGGUUUAUCAAUUUGGCAAUUGAAGAUAAUGCCUGUGUCUUAGGUUCGUGUUUUGAAGCAAAACUAACUUUUGAGCUUUCGUAGUGUUGGUUUGAUUGAUUUUAUAUAUCAUUAUGUCUAGUAACUGUCCUCCUCCAUUGUUUGAGGACUUGAAUUCGUCUACUUUGAAUUGCAUAUUUUUGUCUAAGAAAUUUCAAUUUUAAAUCUCAAAAUUAUAUAGUACAGUUUUUAUUUUCUUGUUGUUUCAUUUAUUGUUGUUUUAGACAUUGAAGAUCUUUUUUCCUCUCUAAAGAUGUGGUUUUAUAAACUUUCGUUCUCCUGAGCUUAUAAUGCUGAAAAAUUGUGGAGACCUGAGCUGAAGAGUUUUAAAGAAGAUCUUCAAUGUCUGAUCUGGUUAUUUGUUAUUUUCAAUUUGCAUUGUUUUACUUGCAAAGUAAGAAGAAAUAUGCCAAUCAGUUUUCAAAAGUUGGAAUGAAGAACUCCUUGCUAAUUUGUUGUCCAAAAAAUGCCAAAAUUAUUUUUCAAUUGAUUCUUAAGCCUGUACAAUAGUAGAUUUGAUAUUACCUUUUCCCUUGAUGACUAGCCCUGGUACAUUACCAUCUUUCUUUUGCCCUUUCAAAUUGCGGAUUUAUGAUACCUCAUUAUGUUUGUUUUAUCGGACAUUAAUUUUUCUUUUUCUUGUGAAAUGAAACCUGGGUUCUUAUAGAAUGAUGAUCCUUUUUCCCUGCUUGAUGCAUGUGUCAUUUUUAUCGUAAAUUUGUUUCCUAUCUAAUUAAUUGUUUUAUUUAUUCUUUUGGCUUAGUGCUGGGGUAUUUGUUGAACACAAUCUUAAAAAGUGCAAAUUCCUUUCAAGAUGAGGUAUUGGUUGAUCUUUCUUUCAUCUUUAUUCAACUAUC
rnacentral:misc_RNA from 1 species